rnacentral:rRNA from 1 species
AACGAACGCUGGCGGCGCGCCUAAUACAUGCAAGUCGAACGAGAAGGUGUAGCAAUACACUUGUACAGUGGCGAACGGGUGAGGAAUGCAUGGGCAACCUACCCUCGAGUGGGAACAACCAGCCGAAAGGUUGGCUAAUACCGCGUACGCUUCCGGGUCUCCGGAUCCGGAAGGAAAGUCACACCGUGGGUGUGACGCUCAAGGAUGGGCUCAUGUCCUAUCAGCUUGNGGUGAGGUAACGGCUCACCAAGGCAACGACGGGUAGCUGGUCUGAGAGGACGAUCAGCCACACUGGCACUGCGACACGGGCCAGACUCCUAC